ACCCGCUGAACUUAAGCAUAUCAAUAAGCGGAGGAAAAGAAACCAACAGGGAUUGCCUUAGUAACGGCGAGUGAAGCGGCAAAAGCUCAAAUUUGAAAUCUGACGCAAGUCCGAGUUGUAAUUUGAAGAAGGUAAUUUUUGGGGAGAUGUGAACAAAAGUUCCUUGGAACAGGACGUCAUAGAGGGUGAGAAUCCCGUUUUGUUUACCUCUCUCUCCUUGUAAAAUGCUUUCGAAGAGUCGAGUUGUUUGGGAAUGCAGCUCUAAGUGGGUGGUAAAUUCCAUCUAAAGCUAAAUAUUGGCGAGAGACCGAUAGCGAACAAGUACAGUGAUGGAAAGAUGAAAAGAACUUUGAAAAGAGAGUGAAAAAGUACGUGAAAUUGUUGAAAGGGAAGGGUUUUAAGGGAGACUUGGGAGGUAACGAACAAUUUUCUUUCGGGAAGGUGCACUCGUUGCUUUCUAGGCCAAUAUGGAUUUGAAGAGUGGGAUAAAAGGAUAGGAAUGUAGCCACUCGUGGUGUUAUAGACUAUCCCAAUACUGCUACUUCGGAUCAAGGAACGCG
rnacentral:rRNA from 1 species